rnacentral:rRNA from 1 species
GAAGGGAGCUUGCUCCCGGAUGUUAGCGGCGGACGGGUGAGUAACACGUGGGUAACCUGCCUGUAAGACUGGGAUAACUCCGGGAAACCGGAGCUAAUACCGGAUAGUUCCUUGAACCGCAUGGUUCAAGGAUGAAAGACGGUUUCGGCUGUCACUUACAGAUGGACCCGCGGCGCAUUAGCUAGUUGGUGAGGUAACGGCUCACCAAGGCGACGAUGCGUAGCCGACCUGAGAGGGUGAUCGGCCACACUGGGACUGAGACACGGCCCAGACUCCUACGGGAGGCAGCAGUAGGGAAUCUUCCGCAAUGGACGAAAGUCUGACGGAGCAACGCCGCGUGAGUGAUGAAGGUUUUCGGAUCGUAAAGCUCUGUUGUUAGGGAAGAACAAGUGCAAGAGUAACUGCUUGCACCUUGACGGUACCUAACCAGAAAGCCACGGCUAACUACGUGCCAGCAGCCGCGGUAAUACGUAGGUGGCAAGCGUUGUCCGGAAUUAUUGGGCGUAAAGGGCUCGCAGGCGGUUUCUUAAGUCUGAUGUGAAAGCCCCCGGCUCAACCGGGGAGGGUCAUUGGAAACUGGGAAACUUGAGUGCAGAAGAGGAGAGUGGAAUUCCACGUGUAGCGGUGAAAUGCGUAGAGAUGUGGAGGAACACCAGUGGCG